rnacentral:misc_RNA from 1 species
AAGGUCCAAACCAAUAUCAAAAUAAAUAAACCGGAAUUCCUAGCCUAGUCAAGGACAGAGCCAUCUUUUCAUUACAGCGCUGUCGCCAACCUCGCUGCUUUGAGCUAGAAACGCCAGAAGGAAGAUUUGAGAACCCAUCAUCUUAAUGAAGAAAAAAGAACUACUGCACAAAGACCAUCAAAGAGUCUCAAUGAAGCCAGCAAAGGGUAUCCUUUUCCAUGCUUCAGAAUCGUUGACUAGUCGGGGAGGGUGACGUCACAACUCACCGGUCUCUCAUUCUCUUUUAGCGUGGGGAUCAACCUUCAAAUAGAGAGGAAGAGGUGUGUACCCCUGUAGUAGCCGACGUCCUACAAUGCUUUAAAGCCAUCCCUUACAGGCAAACGGCAGCUUCUAGGCCUAGAUCUUCACUGAAACAACACUGAGCUAAAACCUCCUGACUCUUGGAUCACCGAUUUACUUCAUAUAACCCUCCCUUAGAGAACUCUAGAGAUCGGCAAACAAGACCCAAAACAACCAUCUGCCACACCAAGUCGAGAUGGGGAGGAAACCCAUACCCGACCAAUGAGAACGAUUUUCUUCCCCUGCCCAAAGAUUAGAGGAAGCAAGUAGAAAAACUCGGCGAACCCAAGAGACAACCGAAAGAACGAAAUUAAGAGAAAAUUUCUCCCUGUAAAAUGUUAGAGAGACUUUAGGUUUUAAUUUUG